rnacentral:rRNA from 1 species
GACGAACGCUGGCGGCGUGCUUAACACAUGCAAGUCGAACGGGGAUAGGUUGAAUGAGAGCUUCGGCAGGAUUUCGACUUAUUCCAGUGGCGGACGGGUGAGUAACGCGUGAGCAAUCUGUCCCAGACAGGGGGAUAACACUUGGAAACAGGUGCUAAUACCGCAUGAGACCACGGUAUCGCAUGGUACAGGGGUAAAAGGUGCAAACCGGUUUGGGGUGAGCUCGCGUCCGAUUAGAUAGUUGGUGAGGUAACGGCCCACCAAGUCGACGAUCGGUAGCCGGACUGAGAGGUUGAACGGCCACAUUGGAACUGAGAGACGGUCCAA